UCCUCCAUAGCUCAGUUGGCAGAGCAUUCGACUGUUAAUCGAAGGGUCACUGGUUCGAGCCCGAGGAGCAA
rnacentral:tRNA from 1 species